rnacentral:rRNA from 1 species
UCCCCAGACUCCUACGGGAGGCAGCAGUGAGGAAUAUUGGUCAAUGGGCGCGAGCCUGAACCAGCCAAGUCGCGUGAGGGAGGACGGCCCUACGGGUUGUAAACCUCUUUUGCCGGGGAGCAACGGGCGUCACGUGUGGCGCCACUGAGAGUACCCGGAGAAAAAGCAUCGGCUAACUCCGUGCCAGCAGCCGCGGUAAUACGGAGGAUGCGAGCGUUAUCCGGAUUUAUUGGGUUUAAAGGGUGCGCAGGCGGAAUGUCAAGUCAGCGGUAAAAUUUCGGGGCUCAACCCCGUCGUGCCGUUGAAACUGGCGUUCUUGAGUGAGCGAGAAGUAUGCGGAAUGCGUGGUGUAGCGGUGAAAUGCAUAGAUAUCACGCAGAACUCCGAUUGCGAAGGCAGCAUACCGGCGCUCAACUGACGCUCAUGCACGAAAGCGUGGGUAUCGAACAGGAUUAGAUACCCCUGUA